rnacentral:lncRNA from 1 species
AGUGUAUGAUUUGUUAGGAAGGUAACAAGUUAUGCAGGUGGAAAUCCAAGUGAUACAGAAAGUAUUUCUGUGAAAAUGGUAAGGACCAAUUGAUUGGUCCUUGGGUGUUUUCUCCAAUUCAAUCGAUUGGUCACACACUCAAAGUUGGAAAAUGUAUGAUUUUACUGAGAACCAAUCGAUUGACACACUCCUCCAAUCGAUUGGUCCUGCUAAAAUUUCCUUUUCUUCAAAACAGAAGGUUUG